UUACUACUUGGAUAACCGUGGUAAUUCUAGAGCUAAUACAUGCUGAAAAUCCCGACUUCGGAAGGGAUGUGUUUAUUAGAUAAAAAACCAAUGCCCUUCGGGGCUCCUUGGUGAUUCAUAAUAACUUUACGGAUCGCAUAGCCUUGCGCUGGCGACGGUUCAUUCAAAUUUCUGCCCUAUCAACUUUCGAUGGUAAGGUAUUGGCUUACCAUGGUUUCAACGGGUAACGGGGAAUUAGGGUUCGAUUCCGGAGAGGGAGCCUGAGAAACGGCUACCACAUCCAAGGAAGGCAGCAGGCGCGCAAAUUACCCAAUCCCGAUUCGGGGAGGUAGUGACAAUAAAUACUGAUACAGGGCUCUUUUGGGUCUUGUAAUUGGAAUGAGUACAAUUUAAACCUCUUAACGAGGAACAAUUGGAGGGCAAGUCUGGUGCCAGCAGCCGCGGUAAUUCCAGCUCCAAUAGCGUAUAUUAAAGUUCCCCUGGGUGGGGGGAACACUGAUGUUUUGGGUUGCAUGUCCCAGAAACGUGGUGAUCGAUGCUGGCAUGAAGUUGACCUCGCUUACUAAGAAAUUACUAAGCCUCUAAGAAAAGUGGAGAUCAACCACGUGACAGCAGUGUUCACGGAAAUAAGCGAGUUCCUUACCACACACGGCGUACCUCACCGUGGUUCAGGGGUGUAACGAUGGAGGUUCGGGAUAAAACCCCCCCGACUCAGAAGGCAGUAAUGUCGACCCAGGGUGCUCCACGGCUAAACGUCGGGCAAACUUCAGCAAUGAUUAUAGCCAAAAUCGCCCAACUGAGGGCCCUCCAUCAGUCGUAUGGGAAUCUACGUUAAGAUUUCCCUACUAAAGGUUGGGCCAUGGCCUCUGCUACCCCUUUAGUAGUCCUGAAAGCCCACUAUCCCAAUACCGUCUGGCCAAUAACCAAAGACGGAAAUCGAGGAUAAGAAAAACAUGCAAAACGAAGGUAUUGUGGCAGACUGUAUAAGCAUGGCAGUGGAGAUGUUUAGAAACAGGGGCUGGGGGAUCUGGCAAAUCACCAGCAACAACAAUCAGCCAUAAAGAAAGAGAAUAAGAUGGAGUGACUACCAAAUUUAUCUUCUCCUACGGAUAAACUGGUAAUAUACUGCCUUGGCAAAGCAGUAAUACCCAAAAGAUACGAACGGCUUAGCAACCGGGGAGAGUUAGGCUUCUAUGGGUCACUGCUCCCAAAAGGUGACACUAGAUUAUAAUGCUUAGCUGAAGGAACUCAACAUUGACGGCAUGAAUGGUUAUGCGUGGAGAUUAGUGGGAAGUCUAAACGUAUGGGGAUUGCAGGAAAAUGAUUGUGUGAUAACGGAAUAGUAGCAGGAUAUAUUAAAUACUAUGAUGAUGUUAAGAAGUAACCGAAGUUGAUAUAAAAUUGAGGUGAGUCAAUUUAAUCAAGCACACACAAAGAGGGAUGAAGCGAAAUUGAAGAUAAAAAGAAGAUUGCGAAGCGUGGACCCUCCAUCAGUCUGCCUACUACUAAGGCUGAAAGGUUAAAGGCGCUGGCAUACUAUAAACACUGAAGCCUAACCUCGGAAGGGUAACAGUGACAUAUUAGUAUGGAUGAAAAGGCCUCGGCCUAUACAUUUGGGACAGCGCUAUUAAUAAAUUAUACCCGGUGUUUACAAUAAGAGAAACGGGGAAGGGGUUCGAUUCCUCCGCUGACUGGUGCCUGAUGGCAGGUUCCCUUAUAAGAGGAUACAAUCCCAAAUGUAGAAUCUUAGUCUCUGUAAACACUAAAAAUCAGUCCAAUAGCGUAUAUUAAAGUUGUUGCAGUUAAAAAGCUCGUAGUUGAAACUUGGGUCUGGCUGGCGGGUCCGCCUCACCGCGUGCACUCGUCCGGCCGGGCCUUCCUUCUGAAGAACCUCAUGCCCUUUACUGGGCGUGUUGGGGAAUCAGGACUUUUACUUUGAAAAAAUUAGAGUGUUCAAAGCAGGCCUUUGCUCGAAUACGUUAGCAUGGAAUAAUAAAAUAGGGCGUGCGUUUCUAUUUUGUUGGUUUCUAGAGACGCCGCAAUGAUUAACAGGAACAGUCGGGGGCAUCAGUAUUCAGUUGUCAGAGGUGAAAUUCUUGGAUUUACUGAAGACUAACUACUGCGAAAGCAUUUGC
rnacentral:ncRNA from 1 species